rfam:Firmicutes bacterium CAG:110 genomic scaffold, scf519
UGGCUUCUGCGUAACUGACGGAUUCGCGGGUUUACACCGCAUGGGAGCGCAGAGAAAAGCCUGCCGACCGUCUGGGCGAUUCAG